rnacentral:rRNA from 1 species
UACAGAGGUGGCAAGCGUUGUCCGGAUUUACUGGGUGUAAAGGGUGCGUAGGCGGAUUUGCAAGUCGGGGGUUAAAGACUCUUGCUUAACAAGAGGAGUGCCUUCGAUACUGCAUGUCUAGAGUGCCGAAGAGGAAACUGGAAUUUCCGGUGUAGCGGUGGAAUGUGCAGAGAUCGGAAAGAACACCAGUGGCGAAGGCAGGUUUCUGGUCGGUAACUGACGCUGAUGCACGAAAGCGUGGGGAGCAAACAGG